GACAUACAAGUAGUAGGGAAAGGAAACUGGACCGACCCUUCGGGGAGCGUUGAACAGGUGCUGCAUGGCUGUCGUCAGCUCGUGUCGUGAGAUGUUCGGUUAAGUCCGCUGACGAGCGCAACCCUCGCUGUGUGUUACAAGUGUCACACGGAACUGCCGGUCAUAAACCGGAGGAAGGUGGGGAGUGACGUCAAGUCAGCAUGGCCUUUAUAUCCUGGGCUACACACACGCUACAAUGGGAAGGGACAAUAGGUUGCGAAGCCGCGAGGCGGAGCCAAUCCAGCAAAACUUCCCUCAGUUCAGAUUGCAGGCUGCAACUCGCCUGCAUGAAGUUGGAGUUGCUAGUAAACGCAGGUCAGCCAUACUGCGUUGAAUACGUUCCCGGGGCUU
rnacentral:rRNA from 1 species